rnacentral:rRNA from 1 species
GCCUGUUUAUCAAAAACAUGGCUCUUUGUUAAUCAUACAUAAAGAGUCGGACCUGCCCAAUGAAAUUCUUAAAUGGCCGCGGUACCCUGACCGUGCAAAGGUAGCAUAAUCAUUUGCCUUAUAAUUAAAGGCUAGUAUGAAUGGUUUGACGAAAAUAUAACUGUCUCUUUAUAAUUAAAUAAAAAUUUAUUUUUAGGUGAAGAAGCCUAAAUAUUAUUAAAAGACAAGAAGACCCUAUCGAGCUUUAAAAAAGUAAAUGAAAAACAUUAUAUUAUAAUAAAAAUAUAUUCAUCAAAAAUUUUGAUUGGGGCGAUCAAGGAACAAAAAAAACUUCCUUUUAAUUUUAACAAGUAAUUACUACCGAUCCAAAAUAUUUGAUUAAAAAAAUUAGUUACCGUAGGGAUAACAGCAUUAUCUUUUUUAAGAGAUCUAAUCGAAAAAAAGGUUUGUGACCUCGAUGUUGGACCAGAAUAUCCCAAAGGUGCAGAAGCCUUUAAAGGUUGGUCUGUUCGACCAUUAAAAUUCUACGUGAUCUGAGUUCA